UUUAAAGCUUUGCGUUCAUUAUAGCUAAGAUUGUUACGGAGUGGAGUUUCAAUGUGGCUUUUCUCCAACUCACUGGUAGUCAUUUCAACAAAAAGGUCUACAUGUGGAGUGUCCUUCAAGUUAGGAGUAAACCAGCUUUGGGGCUUCAAAUCAGUUAGAGGUUUGGAGGGAUUUUGUUCCUCUAAGAAGUCUGUUAGUAUUUUAGAAAAUUCUAAAUACUCUUUAGAUAG